UACGUAGGGUGCAAGCGUUAAUCGGAAUUACUGGGCGUAAAGCGUGCGCAGGCGGUUUUGUAAGUCUGAUGUGAAAUCCCCGGGCUCAACCUGGGAAUUGCGAUGGAGACUGCAAGGCUUGAAUCUGGCAGAGGGGGGUAGAAUUCCACGUGUAGCAGUGAAAUGCGUAGAGAUGUGGAGGAAUACCGAUGGCGAAGGCAGCCCCCUGGGUCAAGAUUGACGCUCAUGCACGAAAGCGUGGGGAGCAAACAGG
rnacentral:rRNA from 1 species